ACCUCCCACCCGUGUCUAUUGUACCUUGUUGCUUCGGCGGGCCCGCCGUUUCCGAACGGCCGCCGGGGAGGCCUCGCGCCCCCGGGCCCGCGCCCGCCGAAGACCCCAACAUGAACUCUGUUCUGGAAGUAUGCAGUCUGAGUUUGAUUACCAUAAUCAAUUAAAACUUUCAACAACGGAUCUCUUGGUUCCGGCAUCGAUGAAGAACGCAGCGAAAUGCGAUAAGUAAUGUGAAUUGCAGAAUUCAGUGAAUCAUCGAGUCUUUGAACGCACAUUGCGCCCCCUGGUAUUCCGGGGGGCAUGCCUGUCCGAGCGUCAUUGCUGCCCUCAAGCACGGCUUGUGUGUUGGGCCCCCGUCCCCGGUUCUCCCCGGGGACGGGCCCGAAAGGCAGCGGCGGCACCGCGUCCGAUCCUCGAGCGUAUGGGGCUUUGUCACCCGCUCUGUAGGCCCGGCCGGCGCCAGCCGACACCCCCAACUUUAUUUUUCUAAGGUUGACCUCGGAUCAGGUAGGGAUACCCGCUGAACUUAAGCAUAUCAAUAAGCGGAGGAAAAGAAACCAACAGGGAUUGCCUCAGUAACGGCGAGUGAAGCGGCAAGAGCUCAAAUUUGAAAGCUGGCCCCCUCGGGGUCCGCGUUGUAAUUUGCAGAGGAUGCUUCGGGUGCAGCCCCCGUCUAAGUGCCCUGGAACGGGCCGUCAUAGAGGGUGAGAAUCCCGUCUGGGACGGGGUGUCUGCGUCCGUGUGAAGCUCCUUCGACGAGUCGAGUUGUUUGGGAAUGCAGCUCUAAAUGGGUGGUAAAUUUCAUCUAAAGCUAAAUACUGGCCGGAGACCGAUAGCGCACAAGUAGAGUGAUCGAAAGAUGAAAAGCACUUUGAAAAGAGAGUUAAACAGCACGUGAAAUUGUUGAAAGGGAAGCGUUUGCGACCAGACUCGCCCGCGGGGUUCAGCCGGCACUCGUGCCGGUGUACUUCCCCGUGGGCGGGCCAGCGUCGGUUUGGGCGGCCGGUCAAAGGCCCUCGGAAUGUAUCACCUCUCGGGGUGUCUUAUAGCCGAGGGUGCAAUGCGGCCUGCCCGGACCGAGGAACGCGCU
rnacentral:sRNA from 1 species